CAACUCGACUCCAUGAAGUCGGAAUCGCUAGUAAUCGUAGAUCAGAAUGCUACGGUGAAUACGUUCCCGGGCCUUGUACACACCGCCCGUCACACCAUGGGAGUGGGUUGCAAAAGAAGUAGGUAGCUUAACCUUCGGGAGGGCGCUUACCACUUUGUGAUUCAUGACUGGGGUGAAGUCGUAACAAGGUAACCGUAGGGGAACCUGCGGUUGGAUCACCUCCUUACCUUAAAGAA
rnacentral:rRNA from 2 species